rnacentral:rRNA from 1 species
GACGAACGCUGGCGGCGUGCCUAAUACAUGCAAGUCGAGCGAGCGGAACUAACUGAUUUACUUCGGUAAUGACGUUAGGAAAGCGAGCGGCGGAUGGGUGAGUAACACGUGGGGAACCUGCCCCAUAGUCUGGGAUACCUCUUGGAAACAGGUGCUAAUACCGGAUAAGAAAGCAGAUCGCAUGAUCAUCUUUUAAAAGGCGGCGUAAGCUGUCGCUAUGGGAUGGCCCCGCGGUGCAUUAGCUAGUUGGUAAGGUAAAGGCUUACCAAGGCGAUGAUGCAUAGCCGAGUUGAGAGACUGAUCGGCCACAUUGGGACUGAGACACGGCCCAAACUCCUACGGGAGGCAGCAGUAGGGAAUCUUCCACAAUGGACGCAAGUCUGAUGGAGCAACGCCGCGUGAGUGAAGAAGGUUUUCGGAUCGUAAAGCUCUGUUGUUGGUGAAGAAGGAUAGAGGUAGUAACAGGCCUUUAUUUGACGGUAAUCAACCAGAAAGUCACGGCUAACUACGUG